rnacentral:rRNA from 1 species
AUUGAACGCUGGCGGCAUGCUUUACACAUGCAAGUCGAACGGUAACAGGGUGCUUGCACCGCUGACGAGUGGCGAACGGGUGAGUAAUGCGUCGGAACGCACCGAGUAAUGGGGGAUAACGCAGCGAAAGCUGUGCUAAUACCGCAUACGCUCUGAGGAGGAAAGCGGGGGACCUUCGGGCCUCGCGUUAUUCGAGCGGCCGACGUCUGAUUAGCUAGUAGGUGAGGUAAGAGCUCACCUAGGCGACGAUCAGUAGCGGGUCUGCGAGGAGGAUCCGCCACACUGGGACGGAGACACGUCCCAGACUCCUACUGGAGGCAGCAGUGGGUAAUUUUGGACAAUGGGCGCAAGCCUGAUCCAGCCAUGCCGCGUGUCUGAAGAAGGCCUUCGGGUUGUAAAGGACUUUUGUCAGGGAGGAAAUCCUUAGCGCUAAUACCGUUGAGGGAUGACAGUACCUGAAGAAUAAGCACCGGCUAACUACGUGCCAGCCGCCGCGGUAACAC